CUGAAGAACCUUUGAUUCUUUCUAUUGACGCUAAAGAGAGACUUCAGUAUGCAGCUCACAUGGAGGCAUCAGCCCAUCUAAAGCUGUGUCUAUGACCACAGAAGAUUGAAUAUGUGGUGGUUAUCUAAGAAGAGAUUGCUACACAAGGGGUGCAAGAAGACACUUGAUAAUAUGAACAGAUUUCUUCAUAAUGUUCCUUGGAACAUUUACUGGUGAG